rnacentral:lncRNA from 1 species
CGGGAAUCUUGAUGAAGUUGAGGACGAAGGCCUGGGCAGAGGGCCUGAAGAAGGUUCACCCGGAGACUGUGCACCCACACGUCCCAGGCACUGGCGCGGAGCCACCUGUCUAUGCCGUGGAACCCUAUCAACGGUGACUUUUCCUGCCAGAAGGAGUGGCCAACAGGUGUCAAUCCCAAAGAGGUGACUGCGCUUCUUCUCCAUCCGCUUCCAGGGCCUCCCACAAGGGAACUUCACUGAGGUAGGCAGAGGUGGUGAGGGGCCUGCCAGGCACUCCUCCCGAGACUGCCCUCCUGUCUUGGUCCUCCUCCAGCCUGUGGGCCACUUUGCCACAGUGCAGGGUUCAAGGAACCAAUGAUACUUAGACCACUCCAUUAAUAUUAGCUAUGAACCCCCUCCAGUCAGCCAGUCAGUCAGUCAGUCAGUCAACAAACAGUGCCACUGAAUGGUAAGAGUCAGACCAGGCAGCAUCACCCACUGGCUGUGUGUCCUUACAUAGGUUGUUAAACUUCUUGAAGGCUCAUUGUACCCCAGGGCUGUUGGGGGUAAUCCCUGAGAUACAAAUUACAAACCCCCUCCAGUCAGUCAGUCAGUCAGUCAACAAACAGUACCACCCAAUGGCAAGAGUCAGGCCAGGCAGCAUCGCCCACUGCCUGUGUCUCCUUACAUAGGUGGUUAAACUUCUUAAAAGCUCAUUGUACCCCAGGGCUGUUGGGGGUGAUCCCUGGGAUUAGUAAGGUCUCAUAAUGGGAUGCUGCUGAGCUCCUCACAGAGGAAAGGAAUUACAGGGAGAAGGAGGUGAGCAUUCUUGGAGAGCUCCUACAAUAGGCAUGGCAUGUUUGUGAGGCCUCCCUGCCAAGAAGAGAGCGCAUACUCCAUGGAGAACUGAGGGCUGAAAGGUCGGCCCGACUCUGCUCAAAAUGGGCCUUGAAUGCCCAGUCCAGAUAUCUAGACUUAAAAGAGCAAUGGGACGUCGUCAGCAGGGGAGCUGCAUCAUAACAAAAGAAUGGAAAGGGCACAACAGCAACAAUUCCAGAAGCUGACAGCAGAUGGAUGGACACAGUAACUGACUUGGCAGACUGGAAAGCAAAAAUCUCAGCCCGUGAUGGGGGCGCCCAGAAGCUGAAGGACUGGACCACGGAACCAUAGGAGGCUGUGGGGCUUCCAGGAAGGCAGUGCAGGUGGGAGGGCAUGUUGAGAGUUUGUAAGAGAAACUGCGAAAGCCCUCCUCACUGACUUGACUCCCCUCUCCCUGCCUGCAGAAGGUGAACCAGAGGCUCUGACUAGGGACUUCAGGCCCCGCUUCAGGAAGGAGUGGUGCUCUUAGCUGACCACAGGGAGUCAUGCAAAUGUCCACAGCCUGCACAGGCACCAGCUCCCCUGCCCCACCCUGCUCUGAGGGGCCGAACACCAUGGGUGAGCGUCUUCCAUCCUCCAAGAGCUUGGAGGAGUCCUCUUAGAAAGCAGCCUAAAAGGAAAGCCCUCACGAUCUGGGGUUCUGCCAAUGACAGGGCCUUCCCAAGGCCUUGCAGGAAACCCACAGGCCAACAGGCCCACCAGGCAUUUCUUUGCAGCUUCCUGGAAAUAUCUAAUUAUUUCAAAAUAAAAAGUUAAAUUUUUAGAUCUUUUUUUACUUUUUUUAAAAAUAGAGACAGGGUCUCACUGUGUUGCCCAGGCUAGUCUCAAACUCCCAAGCUCAAGCAAUCCUCCCACCUCAGCCUCUCAAAGUGCUGGAAUUAUUGGUCUGAGCUACUGAGCCUGGCCAAAAAUUUUUUUCUGCAGAAGAAUUGAAUUAUAAAGUUGUAGAAAGUUCCCUGAAAGAGGCUGGGCGCGGUGGCUCACGCCUGUAAUCCCAGCACUUUAGGAGGCCAAGGCAGGUGGAUCACCUGAGGUCAGGAGUUCAAGACCAGCUUGACCAACACGGAGAAACCCCUUCUCUACUAAAAACACAAAAUUAGCUGGGCGUGGUGGCGCAUGCCUGUAAUCCCAGCUACUCGGGAGGCUGCGGCAGGAGAAUCGCUUGAAUCCAGGAGGCGGAGGUUGUGGUGAGCUGAGAUCACGUCAUUGCACUCCAGCCUGGGACAACAAGAGUGAAACUCCAUCUCAAAAAAAAAGAAAAAAAAGAAAGUUCCCUGAAAGAAAACACAAAGUCAAAGAGAUGGGAAAUAGAAGAGACAAUAAAACUAGAGGAAAGAGGUCUGAAUAAUGGGAGGUCCAGAAAGAGAAAAUAGAGGAAGUAAAGGGGAGAUUGUAGAAGAAAUAAGUGAUAAAUGUCCCUAGAGGCAGAAGAUAGGAAUUUCCACAUUAAAAGGGUCCACCUUUUAAUGAAAAUGAAUGAAAAAAGGACCCAUGCCAAGGAACAGCAUGCUGAAAUGUAAAAGUUGUAAAACUCUGAUUUUUAAAGUUUCAUACAUAUAUAAAUUUGAUUAAAAUGCAUAAAAAGGAAAAUAUAGAAGAAGGCAGAAUCGGGAUUCUGUUCUCUCCUCAAGGAAGCAAGGGGGUAAAGAGGGAAAUGCGAUGCACGCCGGACAACGUCAGAGAAAAACGCAGCCAGGCUACAUGGAGGAGGACGCUGCACGCCUCGCCCCAGAUACGCUCAGACUGGGGAGCGGAGCCACCACUGGGCUUGCGCUCCAGGAGGUGGCCCCAGGUGCGCAGGGGGCGCCCGGAGGAAGGCGGGGACGCCAGGAAGAAAGGAAGCAGGGAAAGCGGAGGGCGCGCCCAGCUCCCGGGCUGAUUGCGCUAACAGUGGCCCCGGUGUUGGGGCGCGUCUGCCGCUGCCCCAAGGCUCAACUCUGUUCCUCGCUCCCUCCCUAGAAACCCUCCUGAGCCCCCCGCGCCGCGCCCCGUCAGGGGGCCUGCCCACCCUGCACCCAGCGUGAUUCCUGGGCGAUGUAUUGGGGGCUUCUCACCUGCGGGGUGACACUGCAGGAGGUCGUCCCCCAGCUUGUAGCCAGGCGCACAGCUACAGCGCCGCCAGC